AUGUGUUCACCAAACUCUUGUCUUUUCUGGUCAUCUUUAUUGUAUUUCCAGGCUCGGGAUGAUUUCCAAAUGACAUUGCUGCGAGUUCUAGAGGCAGCUAUGGAAGAGUCUUCUGUUAUACUUACGGAACACAAAAUAUUUACAAGUCGAUUCCUUCCGAGCUUAUUCAUCUUAUACAAGGGCAAUAAAGACUGUCAUGCCAGAUUCCUAUGUUUGAAGAUACUGUCUGAUGUGAUGAUUGUGAUCUUCAGUGAUUCUUCAUUGACUGCAAACGAACAAACGUUAGCUGACCUGAUAACAAUCUCUGACAAAUAUUUUCUCCCUCUGUACCCUUCAUUUGCAGAGGAUGAAGAUCCAAUACCUAUGUAUGCACAGAAACUUCUAGUAAUGCUGAUGGAGCAUGAUUGUGUUAAGGUAUCUGAUAUCCUGAAUGAAGCGACAGUAUCCCAGUGCUUUGAACUUUUGCUUGGAGAUCUUUCAAAUGCAAACGUAAGCAAUGUGAAGCUUUGUUUUGCUCUAGCGUCUGCUCCUGACAUGGACUCCAAUGUCCUUUCACAGCUUCAAGUUGUCAGAAGAAUAGGGAAUCUAGUUGAGUUUGUGACUGCCAAAGAUAUGGAUGAUUUUCUGGAACCAACCUUGGACCUCUGCAGGUCUUUCAUUAUCCGUGGCAUCGGCAGCAACAGAAGUACCGCCCUUACCAAAGAACCUGCACUCCUUGUUGACAGCGCCUUCAGCAUGAGCAUUGCUGUUGAUCAACAAUCUUGCAUCAUGGAUAUAUGUGACCUCGGUGGCAGUAUGGGUAUAUUUCUCGAGGUGUUUAGAAAUUCAGAUCCACAGAUAAGCGAUUUGGCGUCAGAUUGCGUGGUGUUGCUGCUCAAGGCAGCACCUCGAGAGGCCACGAUGGGCUUGCUGGCAAAUCUUCCUAAACUGAGCGCUCUUUUGGACUCGUUGAAGCAUGGUGUCUCCCUCCAGCUGACUCUCCUACUAUACUGCCUAGCAUUCUCUUGCAGGCAGUAUCUAGCCCAAGGAAUGAUACUCUCAAUGUCGGUGCCAGCUCUGAUGCAAGUAGAAGCGCUUGUCUCUGGCUUUCAAGGGCUCACAUGA
rnacentral:rRNA from 1 species